ensembl:lncRNA
AAUGGAUAAAGAACAUGUUUUGUAUAUAUAUAUUUUACAUAUAUAUACAUAUAUAUAUAAUUGUGUUACGUAUAUAUAUAGUGGAACAUCGUUCAGCCAUAAAAAAGAAUGAGGUCUUGCCAUUUGUGACAAUAUGGAUGGACCUUGUGGAUAUUAUGCUAAGUGAAAUAAGUCAGACAGAGAAAGACAAAUACCAUGUGAUCUCAGUUAGAUGUGGAAUCUAAAAACAAACAAACAAAAACCAAGCUCAUAGAUACAGAGAAGAGACUGGUGAUUACCAGAAGAUGGGGGUGGGUGAAAUGGGUGGAGGAAAUCAAAAGGUACAAAAUUCCAGUUACAAAAUACCCUCGUCAUGGGUAUGUAACGCACAGUUUGGCAACUAUGGCUAAUAAUGCUAUAUUGCAUAUUUGAAAGUUGCUAAGGGAGCGGAUUUUAAAAGUUCUCAUCACACAAAAAAAAUUCUGUAACUAUGUAUGGUGAUAUUAACUGGACUUAUUGGGGUGAUCAUUUUGCAAUAUAUAUAAAUAUCGAAUCAUGGUAUUGCACACUUGAAACUAAUAUAAUAUUGUUUGUCAAAUAUACCUUAAUAAAAAUAUCUCUUUCAUUAGAAUACUCAUCAUAAAUCUGUUUCCUAAUUGCACUGCAAGUGAAGAAAAUAAGACAUGGACCUAUGAAGAGGGAAAUUUCAAAUAAAUAAAUUCUGUUUACACAGCAAAAGAUGGGCUUAUCAAACUCAUGGGAAGUAAGCUUAAAAAUCUGUAGCACUUAUAAUGCCACUUGGCCUAAGGCAGCCUCAGACAAGCAGUUGUCAAGCCCUCGCUUAGUGGGAGGAUGGAGAUACCCAUACUCUUCAGUGCCUCUUGACAGCGUAAACUUUUUUAGCUUCUCCGCUCUGAGAACGGCAUGUCUCAAUUGGCUAUGAAGAGUGAGAAGGCAAGGAAACUGAGAAGGGUGGUGUGGUGCUGUAUCUUGGGGUUCUGCAGGCAUCAUCUCAUGUUACAGAUAGAAAAUGGGAGCUCCAGGAGGUAAAGAACAUGGCUUCAGCCCAACAAGCAGGAGUUGGAGGGUUGGAUUGCAACACGAGUCUCUCUGACCCCAAAGUCUCAGCUUUCUUCCCCGCACCUGGAGAUGCCUCAUCACGUCGGAUGCCCAUCGCUGCUUCACACGUUACCCAAAGCCAAUAAUGUGAAACAGCAAUAAGCCUUUAUUAUCACCCGGCUUCUGCAGCUCAGGAAUUCAAGAGUGGCUCAGCUGAGUGGUUCUGGCUUGGGGUUUCUCAUGAGGUUACGGUCAAGGUAUCAGCCGGGUCUCCAGUUAUCUACAGGUUUGACUUGGGAAGGAGGAUCCACUUCUAAUCGCCAUGGCUGGUAAUUUGGUUGUAGGAAGGAAGUCUCAGUUCCUCUCCAUGUAGGCCUCUCCAUAGGCUGGUUGAGUGUCCUCACAGCAUGGUGGCUGACUUCUCCCAGAGCAAGCAAUCCAAGAGAGAGGAGUGCCAAGGAAGCUAUCCUUUUUAUGACCUCCUCUCAGAAGUACAUAGAAGCACUUCACCAGGCUCAUUAAUUAGAAUAGGACUGACCUACAUUCGAGGGAGGGAAACGAGGCUUCGCCUUCUGAAGGGAGGAGGAUUAUGGAUGUAUUUCAAGACCACCGCACUUAGCAACAUGAGAAAGAAUUUACAGCUCUGGUGUGACUUGCCUACCUUCUGCUUAAAAUGAAUCAGAGGGCUUCCAGCACCUCUCAGGUUAAAGAUCACAGUCCUCACUGUGACCAGCAAGGCCAUGCACGCCCUACAGCUCUGCGUGUCCCCAGCCUCAAGCCAGGUCUUCCCCGUUUUAGCCACAUACCUGGACUGCUUCCAUUUCCUCACACUCCCUCUACCUGAAGGCCUCUGCAGAGAUGCUCUCUCGGCCCUCUGUGCCUUCCCAUAACCUCCUCUUGCCUUGCUAACGUUCGUUCCCUUAGCCUUCAGAUCCUGGUUCAAAGGUCGCCUCUUCACCAAACCAUCCCUGAUGUCCCAGACCAGAUCAGGUCCACUCAGAGGCUUUUAUGAACCUUUGAAUUCUUGAAUGAUACUUUUUCAUUUGCAAUUAUGUAUGGGUGUGAUCAGUGAGCUAUGUCUGUCUUCCCCACUAAUGUUCAGUCCAUAUUGAGAUGGCGCCUGUUUUUAUGUUCACCAUUGUAUCCCUAGUACGUUGCUCGGUGCCGAGCACACAGUGGGCACUCAGGGACAAAUGCAUUGAAUGAAGGAGCGCCCAGACAAUGCCCUUCUCGGAGCUGGAGGUGCAGGGCUGGGGGAGCACCUCUUUGUAAGUGUGCCUCAGUGCAGGUUCUGGCAUCAAGUCAGGGUUGACUUGGUGACUUUUAAGUUUCCUUUCCAUCAGGAGAGUCUGAGAUUCUGUGAGUCUGUGAUUCCAGGCAAGCAAACUGCCUCCUUAAGCAGCUUGCCGAUGGCCCAGGUCUUCUGGCUCCCAGGACACACCCUUUUAAGGGGCAGCCUGGUACAAACAUCAAGCACAAGGAAAGUCUAUGCUGGAAACUUCUGGGAGUUUCCAGCUGCCUGGGGCUUUAAGGGGCUCAAACGAUCGGGCCCUCCGUGGCUCCUUUAAGAAGUUUUACAAGGUUAAGUUUUGCUCUAAAAAUAAGCCCACAAGGCUUUUUGAAAAGUUUCAAAAACCAUAUGUCCAGCUGAGCCGUUUUUUGAAGGGCCAGUGAGCCUUUAAAAGCUUCAAAACCGCUCCUUGGCCUGCCCCCCACUGUGGAGAAAGCUCAACACGUGGAGCUUAGACCCGCUUCUAAGUCUUCUAGAAUCUACACUUGGAACAUUCUGCUUCCAUCAAAGGGGUUCAAGACGGAGAUGAGGGGCCGGCCAGGUGGCGCAGCGGUUAAGUCCGCACUUUCCACUUAGCCGCACGGGGUUCGCUGGUUCGGAUCCCGGGUGCGGACGUGGCACCGCUUGGCACGCCAUGCUGUGGCAGGCAUCCCACGUAUAAAGUAGAGGAAGAUGGGCACAAUGUUAGCUCAGGGCCAGGCUUCCUCAGCAAAAAAGAGGAGGACUGGCAGUAGUUAGCUGAGAGCUAAUCUUCCUCAAAAAAAAAAAAGACAGAGAUGAGUGCGUACGAACCCAAGGCCAGUUCUCUCCACAGCAAACAACCGCCCAAAUCACCAGGACACUGCAGCAAGUUGCCUACAGAGAGACCAGCUCAGCCUUCCCUGCUCCCCCUCCUCUCUCGUAGGUCUCUUCGCACUGCGCGCUGUGGGUUGUUCUUCCAGCGGGAAGGCCCGUGUGUAGCCCGGCCCCCGCAGGCCCAGGAGAUGCCCCAGAGACAGAGCCCCUCGGAUAUCUGGCAGCUAAUGAGGAAGUACAUUCAUUUACUAAAUUGUUCUCGCUCUCUCAUUUCUUUUCCUUUCGUCUUUUUGAAUAAAUAUUUAAGCCCUUAUUAUGUGCUGCAUAUCGAAUAUCCGUCUUUCAGGUGGGAAGGCAGGGGCAGAGGUUAGUGGAGAGCAGCAGAAAGGACAUCUUGACGAAUCAGAAAUGCAUUCUCCCCAAAGACGUUUUACAGUUUGUAGGGGAUUAAAGAGGAGUCCAGGCUACGAUACACCAGAUUUCAGGCUCCUUGAAUCCUUCAAGCUUCAGGAAGGAAUCCCUUAUUGACUCCUUUACAUAAAUGAGACUGAGACCAGAGAGGGUAGGAGAAUUGCUCACCAUCUGACAGGGCUUCAGCCACCCCACACGUGUCUUGCUGCUUCUCUAACAGAAUAAGCCAUAAACGGCUAUGAUGCCGGGGCACGGGGCUCCGGAGCAGUGUCAGUGUAACGUGAUACGAGAGUGCAGAAGAAAGAGAGGUCCCUUCCAGCUAAGAGGAUCAGAGAAGGUCCCGAUGUUGCUCCUUGCAGCCACAGUAAAGGGCAUUCUCUUUUCCCCAAACGAAGGAGCUCGACCUCAGUCUCUUUUCUGUGUAAGUGAAACACUUCCAGCUUCUGCACCAACGUCGAAGGCUAAACCCAAGAGAGGAGUGCCGCUGACUGCCGCUCGGAGCCACAGCAUCGCAGCGAGGGAAGGACCUACUCCUCCUCCUGUGACAUCCCGACAGGUGCUCACCCAGCUUGUGCUCACACAUCCUCAGUGGCAGGAAGCUCACUACCUCAUAAGGUGAGAAACUGAGGCUCCAGGAUGUGACAGAUCAGCAUUUCCCUGUUCAGGCAGAUAAGGAAUCAGUUUUCACAGGAAAAAAUUUGAAGACAUCACCAAAGCCUCAUGUGGUUAAAAACAGAAACGAGGGAGCUGAAGACACGAGCUACCUGGCUGAAGGUUGGCGAUGGGUGGAGGGCAGAGGAGAAGCAGGGCUUUCCACCUCCUGCCUGCUCGCAGCGGUCUGCAAAGCUCCUGAGUGAGGCUAGGUAGUUUCCAUUCGCCCCUGCAAAUCCACUUUCCACCUGGGUCUCUGUGGGCCCGGGAGCCUGGUCUUUGUGGACCCCAUCAACCCUGCGGCUUCUACUUGGGUUCGGCCAACGGGAAGCACCCUCCAGAGAUGCGAGGGCAAAAGAGCGGUCAGGGUCUUUGUUCCCUGCUCCCUCCUUCGAGGCCACAGGUUGGCAGUGGGUGUUCCUCCACCAAAGGUCUCAAUUCUCAUCAGACAGCUUUCUGCUUAAGCCACAGCACAGCUCUGGCUCUCUCUAAGGACACUGUUACCAGUCCCUACCAUCCCCUGUUUGUGUCCCUUAACUCCAUUUGCACCUUUGUUAAUAGUCCCUUCAUUAAACUCGUCUCAACACCCCACUGGAGCGAGCCAUUUGUUUCCUGUUUGGACCCAGAGUAAUUCAGUACUAGAACCGUAGGUCAGGAAGGCAUGGCAAAAGUCUUCUGCUCCUGCAGUUUUCAAAUUUUUACUUUUACCUGAAGAGAUCCAGUAAGAAUCAUGAUUGUAAAAGUAAUGAAGUUCGAGAAGCCCGUGGAACCCUGCCUGCUCAGCCUGCCACCCAAAGCACUCCUCCUCUCUGCCUCCCCCAGCUGCUCCAUGAAUCCCAGGGCUGUGGGGAGCGCCCUCCCAAGCCUGCUGACCUGGUGCAAACCCCUCGCUCCCGCGGGAGAGCGGCAGGGGGCCAGGUCUCUACAGCGGCCGUUGUGGCCUGAGCAGGUCUGAUUUAUGCGCUGGGCCUUCAUCAACAGUCUGCCUCAAUCUCUUCCCAAGUGCAAAGCCCCGUAAAUCUUCGCCAGCCCAUGUUAUACAAACACGCAAAAAUAUCAUUAGGGAAACAAACAGCCCCACUGGCCUUGGCAGAGGCCUUUUCUGCCAGGCUCAAGUUACCUAAAAUCAAUAUUUGAACAAGGACAAAACCACAUGUUUCCAAAACCAAAUUAGAGGGUCUAACGGGAGGCCUGGGACGUGGUUACAUCACGCGCGCUCCUGCUGCCCCCCGCGCUGUUGGCGGGCCCCCACCCCUUGCAGUCCCUGGCCUUGCUUGCCCUGAGUGUCUGAACCCAUGAGACAGGUGACACCGAGGGACAGAAUAAGUGAGAAGUAGGAUCUUCUGCAGAGCUGGGGCUGGGACCCAAGUUUACCAGACAGGGGGAGUGGCUGUGUCCCGUCCUGCAGCCCCUAAGCCCUGGCUCCACAUCCGUAGUGGGCUCUGGGCUAAGGUCUGAGGGUCCGAGAGUGAGCCAAAUCGCAAGUGUCUGCUCUCAGGGAGCCCACACUACAGUGUGGAAGGAAGAGGAGACAGGAGGUCACUUCAGCGCAGAAGGACAAGCACAAGCCAUGUGGGAAGGGAAGGGGGCCGAUGGGAGAAGAGGACCCCCAUGCCUCCCAGAAGGGAGGGGUGAGCAAGGAAGAACUCCAUUCUCCCCCAACACGAGCCUGAGCUGGCGGAGAGCUGGGGAGCAGGCGCGGAGCCUCGGCCUUUCCGGGCCUCUCUUUUUGGAACCAGCCCAGCCCAUCUGCAGCCCCUCUGCCCUCCCCUAUUCUCUGCUUGAGCGCAGGGGAAAAAUGGGCAGCGCUUCUGAGCCAGCUGUGUGGGAAAGUCCUCCUCCGAGGGCAGCAGUAAGGCCUUUGGCCUGCACCUCUGAAGCCACGUUCUUUCAGCAAAAAAGCCAGCACUUUGCUCUCCAACCGCCCCUUGAGCCCUCUGUCUCUACCGAGACGGGAGUCCUAGUCGUUGACUCCUCCCAAACAAAUACCGUGUGAUCCGGCUCCUGGGUGCUGCGAGUUGAAACUGUAGGAUACAAGGUUGUAUUUUUUUUAUACUGUGUUUAGAAAAAUAAAUAAAAUAAAAUAUGCCACUGUAUAAACAAUGGUUGUAUUUAUGUGUGGUGGUGAUACAAUUUUCCUCUUUUUUUUAAAGAUAUUUUCCAAUUUAUAAAAAAUGAGUAUAUGUUAUUUUUAAUCUGGGGGGGAAAGCAGCAGGUAAAUGCAAUGAAAUGGCCUUUCAAAUGUGAUAAAAAUGUAAGAAAAAUGUAAGAGAAAGUCAUAAAUCCUGAGAAAGACCUUGGGCCAGCAGGAGGAAGCAGUUAGAGGCAGUCGCCUGGUCACGACUGCAGGCAGGGCACAGCCCCGUUCCCUCUUACCUUCUUAACAACUUUGUGUCCAGCUGAGGUGCUGGAGUCAUCAGCCGCCUUA